rnacentral:rRNA from 1 species
GACGUAGGGCGCGAGCGUUGUCCGGAUUUAUUGGGCGUAAAGAGCUCGUAGGCGGCUUGUCGCGUCGUCCGUGAAAACCUGCAGCUCAACUGCAGGCUUGCGGGCGAUACGGGCAGGCCUAGAGUUCGGUAGGGGAGACUGGAAUUCCUGGUGUAGCGGUGAAUGCGCAGAUAUCAGGAGGAACACCGGUGGCGAAGGCGGGUCUC